UUGGACAUCUGGAAUACAGCAGUAGGAAGCAUAAUCACAGCACUUGUGCACCUGCAGAUGAGGAAUUGCCUGGCUGUUUACAAUGCUGAUUAUCACAUGACAAUCAGAGUAGCCUCAGUAAGGGUUGGAGCUUACAAUUGUCUGAAGUUGGUCUUAUCUAGGCUCAUCAGAACUGUUGGAAACUGAAGACUGGCAGUAUUGUCGCAGAAUGCGUAUCCAAGGUCAUUAAGAACAACAGUUUUCUUUCAUUAUGAGAUUCCAAAAUGAAACAAAUAAAAACUCUAAAAUUGC